GACGAACGCUGGCGGCGUGCCUAACACAUGCAAGUCGAACGAAGUUUUUAUGGAAUGCGACUUCGGUCAAAUGAAGUUUAAACUUAGUGGCGGACGGGUGAGUAACGCGUGAGCAACCUGCCUUUCAGAGGGGGAUAACAGUUGGAAACGACUGCUAAUACCGCAUAAUGUAUUUUGGGGGCAUCCCUGAAAUCCAAAGCUUUAUGUGCUGAAAGAUGGUCUCGCGUCUGAUUAGCUAGAUGGCGGGGUAACGGCCCACCAUGGCGACGAUCAGUAGCCGGACUGAGAGGUUGACCGGCCACAUUGGGACUGAGAUACGGCCCAGACUCCUACGGGAGGCAGCAGUGGGAAUAUUGGGCAAUGGGCGCAAGCCUGACCCAGCAACGCCGCGUGAAGG
rnacentral:rRNA from 1 species